GACGGCGUGGCGCAGUGGUCUACCGCGGUAGACUAGAAUCAAUCUAAUUAUCUACUCCUCUCUGAGGGCGCAGGUUCGAGUCCUGCCGCCGUCG